UUAAUUGGUUUCAAUUGUAUG
rnacentral:piRNA from 1 species